CUUUUUCUUUUGAAUAACCCAUUUUCAAGAUUUGAUCCAAUCCCUUAUCUAAAAUCCUAGUGGAUUACUUUUAAAAAACCGGGCCCUGAUGUUUGAACUGAUGUGGAUGGAGGAUCUUUCUUACUGAAGUGCCCCUGGGCGGGGCCGUAGAGAAAUCGGCGAUAUAUACUUGGCUGCGAGGGUUAGAGAGUGUGGAAUGCCCACAUGUAAACCUCAUACUGUAAAGGGUUUAUUCUUCAGCCCAGAGCGCUCUGUAUGCUUUAUCCAUUUGAUUCAUUAAAUUAAUUUAAACUUAUUUGAAGCCUCUGACCGAUCAUUUAACCUGGGGGACAAGGAAAAGUCCAACAAGACCCACACGGUGAGCAAAAUUAGCAGUGUCCUGAAGAGCAUCUGGAACAAUCUUUACUAAUGUUGAGAGCCACUUAUCGGACAUUUUCAGCAUGUUUUUCGGUAACACCGUUUAGUUUUAAACAGCACCUCCAACUGUAGCGCUUACAAUCUAAGUACACUUGUGUUAUUUUCAAGAGUGUAGGUGGAAUAGAUCUAUUAUUACGGUGUGAUUUUUCAAUACAAAAACUCCCUCUUAAAUUAUCAGAAUUUCAUUAACAGGUUCUGUUAUAUUGGCAAUUAAUUUACAAACAUAAUUUUUCCCCACAUAAUUCACCAAUUUGGAACAAUAGGUACAUUUUAUUUAGAAACAAAUCUUUUUUUAUGAAGACUGAUGGGAGAGAGGUAUUUGGUCGGUUGUCCAUCUAUUAGACAAAGAAGGUGAGGUUCUCAGUCAUAGAAAUUUUUGUGAAAAAUAUAACUUUGAAUGUGAUCAUAAGCAAUACACUAGGGUAUUAAAAUCUAUUCCGAAGGCAUUUCUAACGAUGGUUAGUAAUGUGGUUUCCAAUAUAAAUUACACACUUCAUCUGCCUUGUUUGUUGAUAAAUGGACAAGAUUUUAUUCGGAGUGAAAUACCCAAUAAAAUAAUAAGAUCGAUAUUAACCCAAGAUAAAUUUCCAAUACAAGCUAAUAGAAAUAAUAUCUCUUUUCUUUUUUCCAAGAGCUCUAUUACCGAAUUAAGAACAAUGUCUCUUUCCUUCCCAAUACCUCCCAAAGCUAAAGAAGUACAUUUUUUAAUUUUUAAUAAUAUUUACCCAUCUUCAGAGUUUCUUAGACAUAGAUUUAACUUUGAUCACAACAACUGUACAUUCUGUGAGAUUGACAUUGAAUCUGCACAUUUAUUUUUUGAAUGUUUAUAUAGCAGAACCUUUUGCUCCCAAUUUUCUAAAAAUUAUAUUUUAUUUGGUUUAUUAGGGUAAGAUGUUAAUAUUCAAUUUGUAUUGAACAAUAUUUUAAUUUUGGGAAAAUGUUAUAUUCAUAAAUGCAAGUGCCUUAAAACCAAACCACUGUUUUUAGUUUUCCAAAAGGAAUUUUGGCUAUACUGUAAAUCUUUACAGCUGAUAAAAUCAAAAUGUGGAAGACUCUUUAGUCUAUUGAAAAUUUUAAAUUAAUAGAAGACCCGAUGUAAAUGUUUUUUUUUUCUUUUUUUGUGUGUCUUUUCUCUGGUUUAAGUAACUUUUUUUCAUUUUGAUUUACUAUGUUAAUGACUUUAUUAUUUGUGCUCUGUUCUAUAAAUGUAGAUAAUAGUUGUUAUUCAAAUUUUGCCUUACUGUAAUUGUGUUAUGAUGCAAUAAAAAAAGUACACUUGUGUUCAGCGAUUAGUUUCCUCUCUCAGCGCGCCAAUCUCUGCUUCAGAUGAUUAAGAGUCUCUCUGUGCUCACUGACAUCCAGAAGCAGCUGUCGCGCCGUCGCUGUCAAACUUUUCAUUUGUAGCUCAGCUACAACAACCUCGUUUUUCGGACAAGUGUCAAAUCAUGUGAUUCCGUAUCACAUUGGAAAUUCAGUCCAGAGCUACAGGCCGAUGCCGAGCCAUCAAGUCCGCCGUGUGGGACGCGUCAAAAAACACUCAUGCCAGACCUUGCGUGAUUAACUUUAUUCUUGCUUCUUAUCCCUAUGCACAAAGAUGUCAAAAGAGUUAUAUAACGUCUACGCGUAUUUUAUAAUGUCAUCACCAGUGUUAAGCAGUAGGUUGAUAUACCACUUUACCUUUUAAAUCCUGAAGAACAAACGCGAAUACCUGUACCUAGGGCGCCGCCAUCUUGGUCUCCCUCCACGUUACGUCAUCUGAUUAAAUAGAACGCGUUCUAAACUGCGAAUGUCACAAUUAACCAGACGCCUGACAGAGUAGACGAAUAUUGAGAAGCUCCGCAUUUGGACACUCAGACAAGGCGAACAGAUUUACAAUCAGAUAAUUAAUUGCAGUAAAUUGAUUCAUAUACUUUUGAUAAAGUUAUUUACUGAUAAGUAAAUGGAACAGAGUAUGUUUUAUGUUCCUGGUCCUUCGGGACGAAGCAGAGCAUCAUCUAUGCUGAGAAUAGGGCCUUCUCCUGGUUCUGGUAACUUUACAUUUUAAUGUAUUUUUUUGUUUUAUAUUGUAUUUUUUGUAUUGUAUGUAUUGUAAUGUUUGAGGUUGUUAAACCCUUCUGUUGCUGUUUGGUUGUUUUCACCCACUCUGGAGUCAUUUUAAGGCUUAAUUUGGCUUAAACUUGCUGUUUUAGCGAAGGAGUGAUUUUUUAUGACAAAUUUUAUUUUGACACAUUUUGGGAAAAGUUUUGAAAAAAAAAAAAGUUAAAAAAAAUUUUUAAUUCAGGUCAAAUUGACUCCACUUUCAUUAUGCUCCCUGUUGUGAAGAGGUAACAUUUGUAAUUUUCGCUGAUGAUUAUCAGUUGCAGUGCAAAAAGCUUAGUUAAUGGCUUUUAUAUGGAGGUGUGUGUCUGUGUGUGUGUGUGUGUGUGUGUGUGUGUGUGUGUGUGUGUGUGUGUGUGUGUGUGUGUGUGUGUGUGUGUGAGAGAGAGAGAGAGAGAGAGAGAGACUUUUGCACACUUACAAAAACAGCCAUCAGCAUAAUAAAAAGGUAGUCAAUUUGAAAAAGGGUUAAAUUACUUUAUUCUGUCUGUUCUGGCAUUACAAGCACCUGUCUCAAUUUAACAUGUUGUUUUUUUGUCUUUCAGUGAAAGAAAAGUAUGAUGUCAGAGAAAAAAUAGGAGAGGGCUGCUACGGCCAGGUCUACAUCGGUAUCAGAAAGUCGGACCGAAAACAGUUUGCCAUCAAGGUAACUGAUUACGGAGAUAACAGCGGUGUGCCUGGCUAUGCUGGAGAGCUCCCAAAGGAAGUGGCGAUGAUGACCAUUGUGAGGGAUUCCCCCUGCCCGUUCCUCAUCAAACUCCAAGAGUGGUUUUUGGUGAAAGAGGAGAAAUUGCCAGACGGGGUAAGUCUGUUUAUUCAGCACAUUACAUGAAAUAUGCACUGUAAGAGGGUUUGUCUCGUUUCCUUUUGUUGUGUUGAUUUUGUAACUUAAAAUUCUUAAAUCAAGAAGCAUUUCUGAACAAGAACAUAACUCUGUCUUGUUUUCAGAAGAGCUCAUGGGUUAUUAAUAUGCCGGUGCGGUAAGCGAAAUAAACUCGUUUCUACUUUAAAAUCUAUCCUGAAUGUAACUGGAAGCCAGUGUAAAGACUGACCUGAGGACUGCUGUCAUGUGCUUGAUUUUAAUUGAUUGCAUUUGCUUUCAGGAAAUGAUAAGGACAAUAGCAAUGGUGAUAGAGCAUCCCGGCCCGUGCAGAACUCUAGCAGAAUUCCUGGAGGAGCACCCGAACCUGGAGAGGAGAGACGCUCGCACACUGAUCCAGCAGAUCGUGAAAGCGGCUCAAGCGUGCAAGAGGCAGGAAAUUUGUCAUUUUGAUAUCCACGAUCAUAAUAUCCUGGUCAUCAGUCCACCUCUGCACAUUAAGCUGAUAGAUUUUGGAUGUGGGUUGCACAUCUUCCAUGAUCCAGACAAUCACCCACGGCGAGACACAGUGAUAUCUCCAGUGACAGCGGAACAAAUAACGGUGAAUCAGCUGGUUACCAUCGUGGAGGGCAUAGCAAGACAUUGUUCCAGCAUACCUACAGCAUUCAUGGAGUAUAUUACUGCCUGCCGGUCAUCUUUGAAUGUUGAAGAAGUGGUCCAGCAUACAGUGGAGGAGAUUCUGGAUCAGCCGUGGCUAAGAGACUAAUGACAAUAAAGACAUGAGGAACAUGAGGAGUUAUGAUUUUCACUCUCGAACAGGACCUGUUUUAGAGGAGAUUAUAGAGCACAAGUGGUUCAGCAUGACGUAGAGCCCAUCAGCAGCAGGAAACAGGUUUUCAUACUUCCAUUUACGUCAAAUUGUUUUGCUGUUUUCCGCUUCUGCUUCCCAAAUUCUGCACUUCCUCCUGCGAGUGUUGCAGUCAGAGCUGCAUGUAAAUGAGGGCCGGUUAAAGCGUCCCUAUUGGUUCACCAGCUCUAGACCGACUGCUCUUCCUUUAGCUGAUCAGGUGAGGAAGGAAGCUGAUGUCAGUCUAAUGGCGGCCGAUGCGCACAGGCGACGCCGGAGAUUGAGUGUUAGCGCUAAUCCUCAGCUGGGGUAGAAUCUGUCUGCGGCAGGACAGCAUUAAUCGUUUAAAAUAAGUAAGGGAAAGCAGGUUCAUUCACGUUUAGACAGGACGUAGUGUUUAUAUGAACUGGGUUAGCACCGACUGUAGAGUAAAUAGUCAUAUUAAGGGAAAUAAUCACAGAUUAAUAAAUGAAACUGCUGGAAAGGGGGAUUUAUUAGCAUACGGGUGUGCUUUAUUUCUAUAGCUGUAGGAUUAAUAGUAAAAGGUGAAGUCUGUGUAUUAUUACUGUAGUGCGUCAAUACUUUUAUAAAGACAGAAAGCCUAGUUUAGACAGUCGUCGUAGCUCUAACGGGACUUUAGGCAGGUUUAAGUGAGAUAAGCGCAUAUAACAGGGGCGUCCUGGGCCAAUGGGGAUGCUUUAGCCGGCCCUCAUUUGCAUGCAGCUCUGAAUGCGACACUCGCAGGAGGAAGUGCACAAUGUGGGAAGCAGAAGCGGAAAACAGCAUCAUGUCAGAAAACAAUGGAAGUAUGAAUUCCUGAUGAUGUUAUUUAGUCACUGACCACAUGUGUGCUGCUCUUCCUAUGAUUUCUGUGAAAUUGAGACUAUGAACCCUAUGGAGUGUGUUGAAGCUGUUUUCUGUUGAUCAAACUGUAAACUAUUGUCUUCAAUAAACUGUAUCUCUGA